AUGCAGGUCACUAAGAUGAGUAAGAAACACAAGUGUUCUUCAAGUAGCAGAGUAAAAACCACCAUGGCAACACAAGGUUGGGUUGAAGCCAAGGCAAUGAGUAUACUCCAGAAUGAUCCUACCAUAGGAUGUAAAGAACUACAAGAGAAGCUCGAAGAAACUUAUGACAUCACCAUUGGUUAUGAUACAGUUUGGGCCGGUAAAUCUAGAGCCGAAAAACAGAUUUAUGGCACUUUGAAGCAGAGUUUUCAGAAUUUGCAUAACUUCAAAGCAGAAGUUGAGAAGAGAUCUCCAGGGAGCAUCGUAGAGGUUGAUACCAAGGUAGUAGAUGGUAAAGUCCACUUUCACAGAUUCUUUAUGGCUCUUAAACCUUCCAUAGAUGGUUUUCUAGCUGGUUGUAGACCAUAUCUCAGCAUAGACUCCACGGCAUUGAAUGGUAGAUGGAGAGGACACUUGGCAGCUUGUACAACAUUAGAUGGUCAUAACUGGAUGUUUCCUGUUGCAAUUGGGUUCAUUGAUGGAGAGACUGAGGAAAACUGGACUUGGUUCAUGUCACAACUCAAUAGAGCUUUAGGUUCAGUCCCUAACUUAGCUAUAUGUACAGAUGCAUGCAAAGGUUUAGAAAAUGCUGUCAAAAAGGUUUUUCCUCAUGUGGAGCAGAGAGAGUGUUUUAGGCACUUGAUGGCAAACUUCACAAAAAAAUUCAAAGGUGAUGUGUUUGGUAGGAUGUGGCCUGCUGCUAGGGCAUAUAGGCCUGAAGUUUUCUCCCAUCAUAUGCAGAAAGUCUUGGCAGCUAGUAGCCGUGUGCAUGAAUAUUUGUCAACCUAUCACAGUUUGAAGUGGAUGAGAUGCAGUUUCAAUGCAGACAUCAAGUGUGAUUAUAUAAACAACAAUCUGGCCGAGUCUUUUAAUAACUGGAUAAAAGAUUAUAAAGACUUGCCUGUUGAUGAGCUUGCUGACACAUAUAGAGAGUUGUUGAUGAAACUAGUAUACAAAAGAAGGAGAAUUGGGGAGAAAUUGAGGGGAAAGAUCAUUCCUGCUGUUAUUCAACAGAUUUUCAAUAGGACUAGAGGGCUUGGUCAUCUAAAAGUUGGAAAAUCAGGUAAUGGUAGUUGUGAAGUCAGGGACACAAGCAAAAACAGUCUUAGGCAUGUUGUGAAGGUUGAUAAACAUGAAUGCACCUGUUUGGAAUGGCAGCACACCGGAAAGCCUUGUGAGCAUGCUCUAGUAUUUUUGAUGGGGAGGAGAAACCCCAAAUGGGUUGACUAUGUUCAUAAUUAUUUCUCCUUGGACAAGUUUAGGGCAGCUUAUGCAGGUGAGAUUGAGCCUAUGACAGAUAGGAGUCAAUGGCCUCAUGUGGAUGUUGGUUUCGACAUGGACGCACCAAUUGACAAAGGAAGACCGCCUGGAAGGCCUAGAAAGCAGAGGUACAAGAGUGCCCUCGAAGGUGGAAAAGGUGGUCCAAAAAAGAAAGAACCUAAACAAUUGGGCAGCCAAAACAGAUGCAAAAGAUGCAAUGAACUAGGUCACAGACAAGCUGCUUGCCCUUUAAAUGGUCCCAAAAAAAGGUAA
rnacentral:rRNA from 1 species